GCCCCGCGCCGAGCCCCGCCGUGCUGCGGCCACUCCCGCACCGGAGCCGCUCCAGAACCGUCUGCAGGACACGAGCCCGCGCCCGUGCUUUGGGAUGCCCGGAGCAGACGCCCCAGUGUGGUCCCGUCCCACCCGACCCGUUCAGUGAUGCCGCGGAGAGCCGUCAGCGCUCGGCGUGUUAUCCUCAGCCCGCCUUGAGGACCAAGAGUGUGUCGGGGGCUUUUUUAUUCCGUUUCAGUCUUACCGCUGAGUUCCUCUGUCUCACACAGAGGGUAAGUCUAGAAGUGAAGUGGGUGUUUUAAAUAUGGCUGCUAUUUCAUUAACCAUCAAACUGCUGAGCAAGGAGUUCUCCAAACUUUGCAAAGCUCAUCAGGAGAAGUAUCCUCAAGGAAAGUGUUGUUAAGGAUUGGAACGGGCUGCCCAGAGAGGUGAUGAAGCCAUCGUCCCUGGAAGUGUUCCAGAAACAACUGAGGUGGCAUUUAGUGACAUGCUGUGGUUGACAAGGAGGUGAUCAGUCAAAUGUUGGGCUCGAUGAUCUUGGAGAUCUUUUCCAACCUAAUUAAUUCUGUUAUUCUGUGGUUCAUGACUGAGGAAUUCCCUGCUGCUGCAUGAGAAGUGUCACAGUGGGCUCCUGCCCCAGCAGCUGAACCUCCAGGGACCCCUCAGCUCUUUGGAUGCAGCAAUACCAGCACCACCAGGUCCAAAGCAAAGCAGUACCCGCUGUCCUCUGAGGGCCAGCACCCCUCAGCCAUGGCAUGUGGAGCAGCCAAACCUGCCCAAAUGGGGCUGUCCUCUGUGCUCCAUCCUCAGCACACAACCCAUGCCUCCAUACAGAGGUGAAAAUAGUUUAACUGCUAAGUAUAAUGAUGCAGGUCCCUGCAUAAAUGGUUAAACUGCUAAAUAUAGUGUAACACAUAUGGUUAUAUGGUGCUGGUAUAAGGCAGGACCUUUAUGUUUCUAUCUCUGUCUUCAAGAAGAACCUUGCUGCACAUUCCACCAAUUCCUGCGUUAAACCAGACAUUUAAUGUGCAGAAGAGACUGCCAUGUUUGAUGGGAAGAUAGGAAGGUUAAAAUGAAGCAGGGGAAAAGGUCAGCGAGGCAAAGACAAGCCAGUAGAGAUAUUAAAGAGUAUUACAAACUAGAAGCAAGUAUAUUAGUUUGGUACAGCAGUGCCACUUAAAUAUGGGUAAAUAUCUAAAUUCUGUUAGAUCAGAAGAUCUGAUUUAGUGACCUAAGGCUAAGACAAAACAAAAAGCCAGAAUCUGCAUAUUGGACUCUACAUUUAAAGAAAAUAUAAAGGAAGAAUUCUGAAACUGCACGUGCCAAAAGAAUUUCCUCCCAUCAGCACCAUGGAUCUGCAUCUGUUCAGAAAUCGUGGAUACUGUACAAUGCAGACCAAAAGUUGCAGCUUCAUUAUAUAACUGAGAGAGAACAUAGUUUGCUGUUCCCAGACUCUGUGAAUGUGAAACACUGUGGCAUUGCUCCUUUCUGGGGUAUAUCAGUAGCCUGAAUAGGGACUACUUAGGCUCAAUGCUUUUGUUUAAAAAGCAGGGCUGGGCAUUAGCAACAUGGAGCCCUUCAUACUAUAAGGGUUUCCAUCACAUAUUUUAAGCAAGACCUUUGUUUUCCUCUGCUAUCAGUUUUGCAGUCAUCAGAAUUACAUUUCAAUGUGUUUUACAACAAGAAAAGACUGUGUAUCUCCUGCUAAAGAUAUAUAAUUGAAAGCUGAUCUGAAUCGCUGAAAAGCUGAGACUUUAUACCAAUUUAAUUGUAACAAGUUUAGUUGAACAUAACGACCCAAAUUCUUGCUCUGGAGUUACAUCAAGGAUGAACUGCGUCACAGGCAGCUUGCUUCUUAGAAUCAGAAAGACAGCUGAUGAAAAGAGCAGGACACCAUCUUUGUCAUGUUCUUUCUGGUAGAACACUGAUUUGGAGGACCUAAAAAUCAGAGGAACUCAGGUUGUUCAGAAGAAAUGUACUAGAUUGCUAAGGCAAUCUAAGCCUAUAUACAUGAAGGCAUCCCACUAAACUUAAAUUAUUCCUCUUAUAGUGAGUUACAUGAAGAAAAGAGCUCCUUAUAAACAGCAGAGUAAGAAACACUGAAAAUGCCUGUGAGACCCUAGAUGAUAAUUACGUCAUAGGCAAAUAAAUUCAGCUGAUGUUAUAGUAUGAACCUAAAGAGCAAGAAGUAUCAAUGGCAUUUGGGUGUUUUGGGGUAUUUUUGUAUAACCAGAAGACUGGACCAGAGAAUUGAGAGAAUUUUCUCACACUAAAGGUGGCUUCCAUCCAUAACAAAGAAAAAGGACAGCAGGUGCUGGAUUAUGAUGUAAAAUAAAGAUGUCACUUGCUGAGUUCUGUGAAUGUUCAAAAUGAAAAAGAUAGGAGAAAUCCUGGCUGCAGCCUCUUUAUCCAAUUAUACCAUUGAAGAUUAAUCUAUGGAAAUGGCUGCAGCUGUACAUAAAAUGUGACUGUAGGCACAACUGCAGGCUUAGAUGCUGAGCUCUUACUCAUGCACCACAGAAGGUGAUUCAUAUCCCCAUUACACAAGUGACAUAACAGAUCACAACUCCUCAGUGUGACAGGGACAGAAUGCUACAAGGACUCCAGGCAUGCUGCAGUCACUCUGUGUCCAGAAACCUGUUAGGCACAACAGCACUGAACCACACAACCAAGCUGCUCCAUUGCCCAGUCAAAAAGGUUGCCUACUUCUGAAGUAAUGUUGUAUCAAAACGUCAUCAGUCUCUUGCUUUGUUUUCAUAAAUUUUGCCAUUUUCUUUAUUUUAAUUCACAGAAAUCCGGGACAGGAUAUUUAUGUUUGUAACUCUAAAACGUAUCACAACACACAUUUAUUAUUAUCGGCUUUUAUAACGUGUUAGAAUGCCACUUGUUAAAAAAAAAAAAGGCUAAAGCACUUGACAAUAGCUGAAGACUCAUAAUAAUAAAUAGUCCAGGCAGGUGGAUUGUCAUCCUGAGAGGGUAAGACAGGAAUGGCAACAAAGCAGCAGAAAAUACAGAGGCAACAGCAUUACUUUCUUAUGCAAUGAGCCUGUUUAAUCUUCAUCUAUUGUUGGAACCCUGGAAACUGAGAAAAACGCGAUAAUCUAUGCUUCAUGUUUUUUGAUGCUGCCUGUUCAGAAAUGCUUGUGGCAGGCUGAUGAACUGCAAAAGGCAUCUCACUUCCCUCUGCAAUAAAUGUGCUACAGUAACAAUGUUAUUAAAAUUAUAUUAAACUUUA